CCUACGGGAGGCAGCAGUGGGGGAUAUUGCACAAUGGGGGGAACCCUGAUGCAGCGACGCCGCGUGGGUGAAGAAGCGCCUCGGCGCGUAAAGCCCUGUCAGCAGGGAAGAAAAUGACGGUACCUGAAGAAGAAGCCCCGGCUAACUACGUGCCAGCAGCCGCGGUAAUACGUAGGGGGCAAGCGUUAUCCGGAUUUACUGGGUGUAAAGGGGGCGCAGACGGCAAUGCAAGCCAGGAGUGAAAGCCCGGGGCCCAACCCCGGGACUGCUCUUGGAACUGCAUGGCUGGAGUACAGGAGGGGCAGGCGGAAUUCCUGGUGUAGCGGUGAAAUGCGUAGAUAUUAGGAGGAACACCGGUGGCGAAGGCGGCCUGCUGGACUGUGACUGACGCUGAGGCACGAAGGCCAGGGGAGCGAAAGGGAUUAGAUACCCCUGUAGUC
rnacentral:rRNA from 1 species